AGAGUUUGAUCAUGGCUCAGGACGAACGCUGGCGGCGUGCCUAAUACAUGCAAGUCGAGCGAACAUUUGAGAGCUUGCUCUCAGGAUGUUAGCGGCGGACGGGUGAGUAACACGUGGGCAACCUGCCUAUAAGACUGGGAUAACUUCGGGAAACCGGAGCUAAUACCGGAUAAUUCCCAUCUACUCAUGUAGAUGUGCUGAAAGACGGUUUACGCUGUCACUUAUAGAUGGGCCCGCGGCGCAUUAGCUAGUUGGUGAGGUAACGGCUCACCAAGGCCACGAUGCGUAGCCGACCUGAGAGGGUGAUCGGCCACACUGGGACUGAGACACGGCCCAGACUCCUACGGGAGGCAGCAGUAGGGAAUCUUCCGCAAUGGACGAAAGUCUGACGGAGCAACGCCGCGUGAGUGAUGAAGGUUUUCGGAUCGUAAAACUCUGUUGUUAGGGAAGAACAAGUAUCGGAGUAACUGCCGGUACCUUGACGGUACCUAACCAGAAAGCCACGGCUAACUACGUGCCAGCAGCCGCGGUAAUACGUAGGUGGCAAGCGUUGUCCGGAAUUAUUGGGCGUAAAGCGCGCGCAGGCGGUCCUUUAAGUCUGAUGUGAAAGCCCACGGCUCAACCGUGGAGGGUCAUUGGAAACUGGGGGACUUGAGUACAGAAGAGAAGAGUGGAAUUCCACGUGUAGC
rnacentral:rRNA from 1 species